rnacentral:rRNA from 1 species
AUUGAACGCUGGCGGCAGGCCUAACACCUGCAAGUCGAACGAGUGGCGGACGGGUGAGUAAUGUCUGGGAAACUGCCCGAUGGAGGGGGAUAACUACUGGAAACGGUAGCUAAUACCGCAUACCAUCGGAUGUGCCCAGAUGGGAUUAGCUAGUAGGUGGGGUAACGGCUCACCUAGGCGACGAUCCCUAGCUGGUCUGAGAGGAUGACCAGCAAAACUGGACUGGAGACACGGUCCAGACUCUUACGGUAGGCAGCAGUGGGGAAUAUUGCACAAUGGGCGCAAGCCGGAUGCAGCAAUGCCGCGUGUAUUAAGAAGGCCUUCGGGUUGUAAAGGACUUUCAGCGAGGAGGCGUUACUCGCAGAAGAAGCACCGGCUAACUCCGUGCCAGCAGCCGCGGUAAUUC